UACGUAGGGUGCGAGCGUUAAUCGGAAUUACUGGGCGUAAAGCGUGCGUAGGCGGUUCGUUAAGUUCGAUGUGAAAGCCCCGGGCUCAACCUGGGAACUGCAUUGGAAACUGGCGAGCUUGAGUAUGGCAGAGGGGGGUGGAAUUCCGCGUGUAGCAGUGAAAUGCGUAGAGAUGCGGAGGAACACCGAUGGCGAAGGCAGCCCCCUGGGCCAAUACUGACGCUCAGGCACGAAAGCGUGGGGAGCAAACAGG
rnacentral:rRNA from 1 species